AUGGACGAUCUCCUCUCUCCGUCCUCCUCCUUCGUUCCACCCUCACCGUCCUCCCACUUCUCCACCGUAGGCCAGCAGGUGCUCGAGUUCGUGUCCCGGGAAAUUCCCGAACAAUGGCUGUUCGACGACGGCACGAUGUCCCAGAACGCGGACAGGGAGCUCGCUGAGCUCUCCGAGCUGCCACCGAGCCUCCCGGCAACGCUGCAGUGCCAAACCAACCGGCGGGGCCGGAAAACCGGGCCCCGCUCUGACGGUCGCCAUAGCGCCGUCAGCCAUGUGCAGGCCGAGCGGCUGCGCCGCGACAAACUGAACCGUCGAUUUUGCGAUCUCCGAGCUGCCGUCCCCAACGUGUCCCGCAUGGACAAGGCAUCACUCCUGGCAGACGCCGUCGCCUACAUCGCGGAGCUGCGCUCCCGCGUGGCGCGCCUCGGGGACGAGGCCAACAAGGAACUGGAGCAGAGCUCUGUGGCCGCUUCCAAGUUCGUGCAGGUAGAUGAAGCGGUGGACGUGCGGAUGGUGGGAAGUGACGCGGCCGCGGUGCGUGUGACCACAGCAGCCAGCCACGCUCCGGCGCGGCUGAUGGGCGCGCUCCGGUCGCUGGAGCUGCAGGUGCAGCAUGCCUGCGUUAGCCGCGUGCAAGGCGUGACCCUGCAGGACGUCGUCGUGGACGUGCCACCCUCGAUGCAGGACGCUGAUGGCCUCCGCUCGGCGCUGCUCCAGACGCUGCAGGACAGCGCCUAG
rnacentral:rRNA from 1 species